UAGGGAAUCUUCCACAAUGGGCGAAAGCCUGAUGGAGCAACGCCGCGUGUGUGAUGAAGGGUUUCGGCUCGUAAAACACUGUUGUUAAAGAAGAACAUAUCUGAGAGUAACUGUUCAGGUAUUGACGGUAUUUAACCAGAAAGCCACGGCUAACUACGUGCAG
rnacentral:rRNA from 1 species